CGCGAGCAGGUGCGAAAGCAGGUCAUAGUGAUCCGGUGGUUCUGAAUGGAAGGGCCAUCGCUCAACGGAUAAAAGGUACUCCGGGGAUAACAGGCUGAUACCGCCCAAGAGUUCAUAUCGACGGCGGUGUUUGGCACCUCGAUGUCGGCUCAUCACAUCCUGGGGCUGAAGUAGGUCCCAAGGGUAUGGCUGUUCGCCAUUUAAAGUGGUACGCGAGCUGGGUUUAGAACGUCGUGAGACAGUUCGGUCCCUAUCUGCCGUGGGCGCUGGAGAAUUGAGGGGGGCUGCUCCUAGUACGAGAGGACCGGAGUGGACGCAUCACUGGUGUUCGGGUUGUCAUGCCAAUGGCACUGCCCGGUAGCUAAAUGCGGAAGAGAUAAGUGCUGAAAGCAUCUAAGCACGAAACUUGCCCCGAGAUGAGUUCUCCCUGAGACUAUAAGUCUCCUGAAGGAACGUUAAAGACGAUGACGUUGAUAGGCCGGGUGUGUAAGCACUGCCCGGUAGCUAAAUGCGGAAGAGAUAAGUGCUGAAAGCAUCUAAGCACGAAACUUGCCCCGAGAUGAGUUCUCCCUGAGACUAUAAGUCUCCUGAAGGAACGUUAAAGACGAUGACGUUGAUAGGCCGGGUGUGUAAGCGCAGCGAUGCGUUGAGCUAACCGGUACUAAUGAACCGUGAGGCUUAACCUUACAACGCCGAAG
rnacentral:rRNA from 1 species